rnacentral:sRNA from 1 species
AUGUGUAAUGCAUAUCCAGAACGUAGGGAGGAACUAGAUGCUUACGAAGCCGACAUAAUCAACAUCCAUAAUUUCCAUGGCCUUAAAUUUUAUGAUUACCAUAAAAUAUUUUCCGCUAAAGCUGCAGCUCUCUUGAGAGAGAAACGUGUUAAAGUCGAUUGGAGUCUCCGCGACCGUGAUAUCCUUUCAUUAAUUACAGCAGGAUCCUCAGUAAAUGUGUGUAAAAUCUGUAAUUUAAUUGAUCAUGCUACACAAUACUGCCCAUUGCAAUCUUCAGUCCAGGUUGAAAGUCCGUCUUCAAGAUCAUCUUCAUCUAGUAACCUACAAUCGGUAGACAAGCAAGGUCGUUCAAGAGUAUUUCAUGAAGGUCGGGAAAUGUGCAAUAAUUUCAAUAAUCCCAAAGGUUGUUAUAGGAAAGUGUGUUAUCUACUCCACCAGUGUACAAAAUGUCGUGCAACAGACCAUGGUGCCAGAACCUGUAGGAAAUCCAUAGCAAUGUGCCUGUUACUUCUUCAACAUCUUCUAUGUCCUCUAAGGGAAUAAACCGGAGAAAACAAAAUUCAGGAUGACUAUCCAAGGAAAAUUUCUUGCGUGAAGCUUCAACACCAAUAAAUGUUGAUAAAUUGGAGGAAGAGUUAUCAUCACAUCCUGAUAAAAAUUUUGUAUUAUAUCUAUGUAAUGGUCUGAGACAGGGUUUUGAUUGUUUAGUUCAAGGGGAUAUUUCAGAAUCUAAAGAGUGUAAAAAUAAUUUUUCUGCAAGGUCUCAGGUUAAAGUUGUAUCAGAGUUAAUUAAAAACUGAAUGCCAAAAAGGCUUUGUACAUGGACCUUUUCAGUCCGUACCUUUUGCAAAUUAUAGAGUUAGUCCACUUGGGGUUGCUGAAGGAAAAUAUUCUGGGAAGAAACGUUUGAUUUUAGAUCUUUCAUCUCCACAUGACAAUGACAACUUUCUAAGUAUUAAUGAAAUGAUUGAUAAAGAAGAAUGUUCCAUGUCUUAUGUUAAAAUUGAUGAUGCUAUAAGAAUUAUUCUAAAAUUAGGUAGAAACAGUACACUUUGUAAAUACGACAUCUCAGAUGCGUUCAAAAUUUGUCCUUACUUGCCAUCCCAGUGGCCUUUAUUUUGCUUCAAAUGGCAGUCUUUUUAUUAUUAUUAUGUAAGAUUAACUUUUGGCUGUCGGUCUAGUCCUAAAAUUUUCGACACCAUAUCACAAGCAAUUUGCCAUAUUGCAGAGAAAAAUUAUAAGAUUAAGAACAUUUUACAUCUACUUGAUGAUUUUCUUACUAUUGAUCACCCAAGUGAAGAUGGUGAAAGAAGUAUGGCUAUAAUGAUGACAAUUUUUAAACGUUUAAAUAUUCCUAUAGCCAAACACAAGACUGAAGGACCAGUUACUUGUCUAGAGUAUUUAGGUAUUAUUUUAGAUUCAAACAAAAUGGAAGCAAGACUUCCAAAUAUUAAAGUACAGAGAAUAUGUGAGUUUAUUUCCAAAUUGUUGUCAAAAUCAUCUUGUACAAAGAGACAGUUAUUACAGUUGUUGGGACAUUUUAAUUUUGCCACAAGAGUUAUUUUACCUGGCAGAUCUUUUUUGUCAUACCUUAUUAAUUUGUCAACUACUGUUAAACAUUUAAAUGAAUUUGUACAUUUAACUAAAGAAUGUAAGGUAGAUUUAGAAUUUUGGUUAAGAUUUUUGUCAAACUGGAAUGGUAUUACUAUGUUUCAUGAUUGUUAUUUCACAUCCAGUUAUGACUUUGAAUUAUAUACAGAUGCUGCUUCUACAAUAGGCUUUGGGGGAUAUUUUCAAGGCAAAUGGUUCUCUUCUUAUUGGCCUGUUAAUUUACCUACUUUAACUGAAAAUUCGUCUAUGGCGUUCCUUGAGUUAUACCCUAUUGUAGUAGCAGCAUUGUUAUGGGGCCACCUCUGGCCCUGUAAAAAGAUAUUAUUUUGGUGUGAUAAUGAAGCUACUGUUGCUAUUGUUAGAAAGGGACGCUCUAAAUGUUUAGAAAUUAUGAAACUUAUGCGUCAAUUAACAUGGUGUGCAGCUCAGUUUAAUUUUCAUUUUAGUGCUAAACAUGUACCUGGUCAUAUAAACCAAAUUUCUGAUGCUUUGUGUCUCGUUUUCAGAUGACUCGUUUCCGAAAACUGGCUCCCCAGGCAGAGCAGAACCCUCAUAUAUGCCCCAGUGUGUCAGAAGUAAUGUGGUCUUAACAAACACAGUCAACAAACUAUGGUCUAAUGCAGUAGCUAUGAGGACAAGAGCUGUUUAUGAGACAGGAUAUAACCAUUUCAAAACAUUUCUACUUUUAAAUGGGGUCAACCUGAAUGGGAACAAAUUACCUCCCAUAUCUGAAGAACUUUUAAUUUAUUUCGUUAGUCAUUGUUUUCAAAUUCUGAAAUUACAAUAUUCUACUAUUAAGCUGUAUAUUUGUGGUAUUAGAUACAUGUGUCUCAAGGACAACAUCCCCUCACCAUUUCAAUCAUCAGACAAAGACCACAAAUCAAUGGUUCGACUAUCUUUAUUUCUAAAGUCCGUUAAACGUUCACAAAAACAGUCAGUUAGGCCAAGAUUUCCAAUUACUUCUGACAUACUAAAGCAAAUGUGUGUUAAACUGAAGAGAGGCUUUUUUUCAGAAUUUAUAGACUUAAUGCUGGAAACUGUUUGUAUUGUAGCAUUUCAUGGUUUUUUACGUUGUGGUGAAUUUACUGUAGAUAAUGCAUCUAACUUUGAUUCAGAAUCUAAUUUAUGUGUUUCUGAUGUUACAUUUUAUGAAGAUUUUGCAAUUCUUCAUCUAAAGCAGUCUAAAACAGAUCCUUUUAGGAAAGGCAUUGACAUACAACUGCAUAGGCUAAACAAUAUCCUAUGCCCUUAUACAACUUUAAAGAACUACUUACAAAUAAGAUCAGUUAAAGGGAAAUGUGAACUUUCAGAUCCUUUGUUCAUUAAUGAAAAUUUUUCAGCUUUAGAAAGAAAAUAUUUUAUUACAAAUUUAAAAAUUUUAUUAGAAGCCUGCGGAUACCAAGCAGAGCUAUAUAAUGGUCAUUCCUUUCGUAUAGGUGCAGCAACUAGUGCUGGAAAAGCUAAUGUUGAAGAUCACUUAAUUAAAACAUUGGGUAGAUGGAGUUCUGAUAGUUAUUGUCGCUAUAUAAGAACAGAUAAAUCUUCUAUUAAGAAUGCACAACAACAAAUUUGUAACAGUUAA